rnacentral:lncRNA from 1 species
CUCCAAUAUUGAAUUAAUUACCAACCCCUUUGAAUACAUAACUUGCACCUUGAUAGGCUUGAUUCCUUUUUCAACACACUAAGAUAUUCAAAUAUUUUCAUACCACUUAAAUCAUAAUCUCAAAUGAUCAUGAACCUUGGCUCUCUUCCAAUUGAUCAUAAACCUUUGCUUUAUAGGCCCAUACAAUCUAUUAACCUUUG